AGUGAACGCUGGCGGUAGGCCUAACACAUGCAAGUCGAACGGCAGCACAGUAAGAGCUUGCUCUUACGGGUGGCGAGUGGCGGACGGGUGAGGAAUACAUCGGAAUCUACUUUUUCGUGGGGGAUAACGUAGGGAAACUUACGAUAAUACCGCAUACGACCUACGGGUGAAAGCAGGGGAUCUUCGGACCUUGCGCGAUUCAAUGAGCCGAUGUCGGAUUAGCUAGUUGGCGGGGUAACGGCCCACCAAGGCAACGAUCCGUAGCUGGUCUGAGAGGAUGAUCAGCCACACUGGAACUGAGACACGGUCCAGACUCCUACGGGAGGCAGCAGUGGGGAAUAUUGGGCAAUGGGCGCAAGCCUGAUCCAGCCAUACCGCGUGGGUGAAGAAGGCCUUCGGAUUGUAAAGCCCUGUUGUUAGGGAAGAAAAACAGCAGGUUAAUACCCCGCUGUUCUGACGGUACCCAAAGAAUAAGCACCGGCUAACUUCGUG
rnacentral:rRNA from 1 species